UACGGAGGGAGCUAGCGUUGUUCGGAAUUACUGGGCGUAAAGCGCACGUAGGCGGCUUUGUAAGUUAGAGGUGAAAGCCCGGGGCUCAACCUGGGAACCGCGCUUGAGACUGGCAUGCUCGAGUUCGAGAGAGGAUGGUGGAAUUCCCAGUGUAGAGGUGAAAUUCGUAGAAUAUUGGGGAAGAACACCGAUGGGCGAAGGCAGCCAUCUGGACCGACGACUGACGGCGUGAGGCGGCGAAAGCGUGGGGAGCGAACAGG
rnacentral:rRNA from 1 species